rnacentral:rRNA from 1 species
UAAGUGCGAUGUGAAAUCCAGGGGCUCAACCUCUGAACUGCAUCGCAAACUGGCACACUUGAGUAUAUGAGAGGUCGUUGGAAUUCCUAGUGUAGGAGUGAAAUCCGUAGAUAUUAGGAGGAACACCAAUGGCGAAGGCAGACGACUGGCAUAUUACUGACACUGAGGCACGAAAGCGUGGGAGCGAACGGGAUUAGAUACCCCGGUAGUCCACGCCGUAAACGAUGGAUACUA